UACAGAGGGUGCAAGCGUUAAUCGGAAUUACUGGGCGUAAAGCGUGCGUAGGCGGUUAUCUAAGUCGGGUGUGAAAUCCCCGGGCUCAACCUGGGAAUUGCAUUCGAUACUGGAUAGCUAGAGUUCGGCAGAGGGAAGCGGAAUUUCCGGUGUAGCGGUGAAAUGCGUAGAUAUCGGAAGGAACAUCAGUGGCGAAAGCGGCUUCCUGGACCAGAACUGACGAUCAGGCACGAAAGCGUGGGGAGCAAACAGG
rnacentral:rRNA from 1 species